UCACUGACACGGAUCCACGCUCAACAAAGACCUCAAAUUCAGGAAACGUGUGACGUGCGCCGUAUAAAAGGGAUCGGUAAAACCGUGUCAUCUCAGAGGCGGCCGAGUACGUGGAGCACAGAGUGCUGUCGAUGGAAUGCCGCGUACACAUGACGGUGGAUGAUCGUAAAAUCAUGCUGGUACCGACACCUGGCCGCCUCCCAAAUAUAGCUGCACAAGAGCCCCAGUGGUCUCCCCUCUAUAUUUCUAGAGUUGCUACCUCAUCAUGCACACCAUAUCACUGCCAAGAGGGGAUUCCAUGAUGUCGGUACCAGCAACCUUCUCAUCACUGUGCCAUGAAACAGAUAUAGGGAUGCUUUUUUAAAGGUAUGAUGAUUUCAUGUAGUUCUGUUUGAUGUAAUGGGGUGAUGUGACGUCACAAUCAAGAUGGACGUGAAAUCCGAAUGUCAAGUGCCAAUUGCCAGUCCAACAUGGGCUUCCAUCUAGUCAAAGCUAAAGUCUCAGGGAAAAGGUAUAUCUUUGUCAGCUAAAGCGUCAUCACCCCGCAUCUUACAGAAGAUUGUAAGGAAUGCACAUUCUUAGUGCAGGCCCCAGACACCCAAGCGUCUGGUGGAAAUGUCCGGUGAAGAGUCUCAGAGGAACUCAGGGUAACAGACAACAGCAGGGUACGGAAGGAUGAGCCUGAAGAGGGUGUCAUAUGUUUCUGUAGCUCUUCCCCUUUAUUACAGAUUCUAGUAUGAUACAAUGAAUAGUCAGUUGCUUCCAUCAUACAUGUUACUGUUGACCAGUGGAAGAGCCGCUGAUGUUAACUAUGUGUAAUGUCUUCCAACGAAAUAACUUUUGCACAGAAAGAAGGCCACUGCCAUUAACUUUUUAUGCCUCAUGAUAACUGCUCUAACCUCUGCCUUCUGAUCUCAUUCUCCAAGCUCAGAAUGAGGGUGAUUGGGAAGUUGAACAAUAGGCGGUCUCCUGGGACUGGUCUUUCCAGAGAGACGUAUGAAGAUGCCGGGGGUCACUCGGUGCAUUUUAAUCACUCUUAGCUCAGGGGAGCUGUAAACAAAGAAACUUACAAUCACAAGGUGCUCACUAAGGAUGAAUCACGUAUUUACUACUAUGAAUCUCAGCUAGUCAGCUCUCCACUUCAUUAUUGGUCUACCAGAACGAAAGCUGUUCCUGACCACGAAACCCACCCACUGCAUCCAAUCUUCUCCAUCUCAUACUCCUGGGAAUAGAAACAUUGCAUAAUAUGGUAAUCAAAGUCUAGACCUCCGUGAACAGCUUUUGCAGUUCUUAAUUAUGAAGUAAGGAUGAGACAUUUAUUAAUCAAUACUCAAGUAAUCAUAGCGGUGAUCACUCAAGCGCAGUAUUACUCACCUGCAGUUAGAGUAUUCUGUAUAGCAAUAUAGUCUUCAAGGUAGCUGCUUUAAUGGCUAAUUACCAAAGUGGUGCAUAGGACAAGACCUAAACCAACCAAAGACUAACGCAAACCAAAGACCUACAUCAACCAGCAACCUAAACUAUCCAAAGAUCUAAACCAACGAAAGAUGUGACCUUCAAAAAAGUGGUCAAAACAAAACUUUAUUACAGGAUUUGAAGAAGAAAAAAUUAAGUCGAAAAGAACAAAGAAAGAAAAAAAAAAGACUGAAAUAAACAUUGAAGAAAUAAAGAAAAAUGAAAAAAGUCCUGAUUUGUCACCUAACUACAAGGACAUUAACAACAAAGAAAGAAUUUACAACAUGCUUCCGAUCUCAGCAUAAAUCCUAGCUGCAUUUAUUUUAAUCAAAAGAAAAAAAGAGAAAAAAAGAAGAAAAAAGGAAGAAAUGAUAUAAUUUAUGAGAAAACCAUUGUUAUCACAACAAAUGCUCUUUCUCACUGAUAUACCAGCAUUCCAUGUAUUGCAAAUGUGAUCAUGCCAUUAACAUUUAUUUCUGGUACUAUUAAUGCAUACCUUUUUGGUCUGUAGUUGAUGCAUUAUUUAUGAAAUAAGCAACUAACAAAGGUGAUCCAUCAUUUCUGCAUGGCAACCAGGUCAUAAGUAGGAGAAACAAAGACAAUUUACAAACAAAAGAAACUCAUUAAUGUUUUCAGUUUGAAGAUGUUCUGUUAUUUUUCUUUGUUUUACUAUUCUGUAAUAUCAUUCAGUAUUAGUAUUUUGAUGUUUGUAGACAAACUGUUUUUGCAUCUUUGUCAUGUUCCUUGAUGUUUAAGAAAAGUAGAAGUAGAGUAGAAUAUGUCAGUCAUUCGAUUCAGUAAGGAAGGUAAAGCAAUGUGAGAUGCUGAGAGAGGCACUAUCUUUUUUCUCAUGAUAGAAACAGAAAAAAAAC